AUUGAACGCUGGCGGCAUGCCUUACACAUGCAAGUCGAACGGCAGCAUGGGUGCUUGCACCUGAUGGCGAGUGGCGAACGGGUGAGUAAUGCAUCGGAACGUACCCGGAAGUGGGGGAUAACGUAGCGAAAGUUACGCUAAUACCGCAUAUUCUGUGAGCAGGAAAGCGGGGGAUCGCAAGACCUCGCGCUUCCGGAGCGGCCGAUGUCGGAUUAGCUAGUUGGCGGGGUAAAGGCCCACCAAGGCAACGAUCCGUAGCGGGUCUGAGAGGAUGAUCCGCCAAACUGGGACUGAGACACGGCCCAGACUCCUACGGGAGGCAGCAGUGGGGAAUUUUGGACAAUGGGGGCAACCCUGAUCCAGCCAUGCCGCGUGAGUGAAGAAGGCCUUCGGGUUGUAAAGCUCUUUCGGCCGGGAAGAAAUCGCACAGGUUAAUACCUUGUGUGGAUGACGGUACCGGAAUAAGAAGCACCGGCUAACUACGUGCCAGCCGCCGCAGUAACAC
rnacentral:rRNA from 1 species